AUUGAACGCUGGCGGCAGGCCUAACACAUGCAAGUCGAACGAGUGGCGGACGGGUGAGUAAUGUCUGGGAAACUGCCCGAUGGAGGGGGAUAACUACUGGAAACGGUAGCGAAUACCGCAUACCAUCGGAUGUGCCCAGAUGGGAUUAGCUUGUAGGUGAGGUAACGGCUCACCUCGGCGACGAUCCCUAGCUGGUCUGAGAGGAUGACCAGCCCCCCUGGAGCUGAGCCACGGUCCAGACUCCUACGGGAGGCCGCAGUGGGGAAUAUUUCUCAAUGGGCGCAAGCCUGAUUCAGCCGCGCCGCGUGUAUGAAUAAGGCCUUCGGGUUGUAAAGUCCUUUCAGCAGGGAAGCGUUACCCGCAGAAGAAGCACCGGCUAACUCCGUGCCAGCAGCCGCGGUAAUAC
rnacentral:rRNA from 1 species